CCGGGCCUCGGGCCCUGCUGGGCCGGAGACGGCGGGGGAAGGGAAGCAGAGCUGUUUCUUCGGUGUGUGUAAGGCUGCGUCCUGUUACACCAUGACUACUACCUCAUCAGAUGGCUCUGGUGACUGUGAAAAGCAGCAGAAGGAAUUGAGCCAGAGUUAUGCUAGCUCUGUCCUCGACUAUUCAGAAGACACCUGGGAAACCUUCAGUGAGGAAGAAAUAGCCUCCUGCUGGCAUGAGAGCAAAUCAUCUCAACUGUACUGUUCCACAGAAGAUGCAGAGCAUUCUGGUGUGUUGGAUCCAGGGGAAAGCAUGUUGUGGUUGGCAGGCCAAAGUCAUACAGAAGAGCAGUCUGAAGUAGUUGAUUCUGCAGCUGCAGAAAGAGAUUUCAUUGGAAAGUUGAUUGAUGUCCUAAAAAAUAAGGAAGCUGGCAUUAAACAAGAUAAAUUCGUCAUCAAAACUCAUGCUGAAGUUACUGAGUUAUCAGAGGAAGAACUGGAUGCUCUCCAGUCUUUUUGCAUCAUUAAGAUAAGGAGGGUGCUGCAGGAGCUGAUCUCUGAGCAGGCAAGUGGUGGCAAGUCAAGAAAGCAGCAGCGUGGGUUCACAUCAAAGGCAUCAGAGGCAAGUGACUUGAACUGCAUUGUUCCCCAUCAGCUGAUGAACAGAAUCCGUCUCAGAAACAUCCGGGAGACCAUUAAACAGGUGACAGAAGCUCAAGUGCACAAAUCUUCACUGUGCCCUGACUGUAAGAAGAAGAAAGCAGAGCUAGCCAAAAUUACUUUUCUCAGACAGAAGAAGAUACUAAUGGAAAGAGCUCUGCUCCGCGAAAAAUUGGAAGAACGGAUUUACUCCAGAGAUGUGCUCACGCUUAUAGGAGAAACACUCAGAAGCUUUCCUAAACUUUCAGAGGAUCCCAGGAACUUAUGGCAAAAGCUGAAAGGCAAAGCUGAAGGAAUGACUGCGUUCUGUGAACAUCUGAAAUCAUCAGCUUUAUUGAAAGAAUGAGGACCAGAAAUUUUAAGUGAGAUGAAAGCUGGAGUGGGAGUGAGAGCAAAUGAAAGCAGAGAUGAGGGAGGAAGGAAUGGGAGAACAGCAGAAGGGAGGAAGGACUUCAGAAAGUGAAGUGUAGCAUGAGCAAGAAAACUCUGCUUUUAACAGUUGUUCAGCCUGCUCUGUCUUCAUCUUUGAAAAGAUGCUUUUGUGUUCACUUGGAAUACGGUGUAAGUUUUUUUGACUAUCUUUUGGUUUUGAAGUUUCCUCCUUACCGAUGCAAGAGGAGGAAAAGAUUGCAAGUUUUGGAAGCACUUGCAUCACCUCAUUCCAGCAUUGAUCAGAUCUGUAAAUCAACAGAAGGUUUAAUCUUGUUCCUGUAAAAGGAAUGAUGUCUACUGGGAUUCUGAUUCUCCUUAAAGCUGCAAAAGGCUUUGAUAACUUUGAGGGAUAGACUGUGUAUGACAAAAACAACUUUAGUGCAGAUCCUGAUACCAUCUUACCUCUGCACUGAGAGAUGCUGAGCAAAACAGCCUCUGCUGAUUUGGAUGGAAGCUGCAGGCUGUAAGCUUUGCUUAGGAUGUUUGCUUUUGAGUUAUUCCGGAACAACCGACGUGGGCAGGUGCCUGUGCUUAAUGUGGACUGUAAAUGUGACAUACUAUUUUCUUGGGCAUUCAGUUUAUAAGAACCCAUAUGGAACUACUUCUGCUUUUUUUUUUUUUAAUGUUUUAAUUUUAAUUAAGUCAUUGCUGAAGAGUAGGGCAGUUGAAGCAACAGACUCGUAACACUUGAGCUCUCUCCGAAAUUGAUACUUAUCCCACUGGUUUGAUUACCUCCUCCUCAUGAUAGUGUAACACACUCACUUAGUAUAACUAUGAUUUGAUAAAUGCCAGUGUCUGUUCAGGUGUGAUUACAGCCUUCUUGUAACUGCACGUUUUUGCAAAUACUGCUUUCUGUGCCUGCACAAUUCAAAUCCUUGUGGAAGCUACCGAUGCCUGUUACCAUUAAGAAACUGCAGCUAAAUCAUGCUGUAGAUGGAAUGCUUGCCAAAUUCCCAUCUCAAAUCAGUGCUAGCUAGAUGUACUUGGUUCAGCUAUAUAGUGGGGUAAAGAAAGUUUAUCAUCCUGAUCGAUGAAAUCUUAGUAUAACAUUUUUAGGGUAGAUUUGAAACUGAGUAUUAGAAGCUCCCAAUUGGCAUGGGCUGACUGAGGCUUAUGAAUGCUGCAAUAAAACAUGUUGGGAAGAGACAUACAUGGUCUCAGCCUUUUCAAGUGCUCAUAUGUGGGGAAGGGGUUGGAAUGUACUUUUUUGGGUUUGAAUUUGAAAAGCAGUGCUGUAUCAUAGUGCUGUUCUCUAAACAGUUGAGCAGAUCUGUUCCUUUGUGAUGUUCAUUCAGAACUAGUUUUUUCAAAAUGCAGUGAAACCUACGUCAAGAUUUCUUUUCUCUAGACAGCACACAACAUUCCUCUUCUCAGAGGAUGGAUUUUCCAGAUAAGACACUCUCUGGUUUUCCUUAAAAAAUAAAGGAGCCAUCUUCUAUUGCCAGCUGUAAAAUGUAUCCUACUAAAAAAAAAUGCUUUAUUUUCCCUUUGAGAUUUUUUUUUGUGCUUACUUUUUUUCUAAUUUAGUUGGUAUUCAUUUCUUUUGCACAACAUUCUUCCCUGUUCUUCCCAAACACCCUUCAAAACUCAGGGCAGUCACAGCCUGUGACUUAGAGAGGCAACCUGUAAAUUCUACCAUUAGUUUGUAUUUUAAAUGUUAUUAUGUGAAAACACAAAUCUUGAAGUACAACCAAUUCCUUAGUCCACACUGAUGCUUCAACUUUGUGAUUUUUCUAUUUGUCUGUUUCUGAGAUCAAUCUGUUCUUAUGCUCUGUUUUACAUUUUUUUUGAGUCAGAGCAAAUACUCACCAGUGCAGGUCCAAGCAGACUGUUUAACUGUUCUUUUGAAUCCCAGGAUAAGUGAAAAUUUGAAAACAGUUUAGGGCUGAAUUCAAAUGAACAAAGUCCUAAGAAGCUUUGUAAAAUAGGAUUUGAAAACAAUCAGUAGGCUUUUCAUUACAGCCUCAUUUUCUUUGCAGGUGAAGGAAGAUUCUGAUUCUGGGCUAAUUGGUUGUGAAAAGAAGAUGAACAAAUGAAAUCUGUUUAUUUUUUA